UACAGAGGGUGCAAGCGUUAAUCGGAAUUACUGGGCGUAAAGCGCACGUAGGCGGUUUUUUAAGUCAGAUGUGAAAGCCCCGGACUCAACCUGGGAAUUGCAUUUGAAACUGGGAAACUAGAGUGUGUGAGAGGGGGGUAGAAUUCCAAGUGUAGCGGUGAAAUGCGUAGAGAUUUGGAGGAAUACCAGUGGCGAAGGCGGCCCCCUGGCACAACACUGACGCUCAGGUGCGAAAGCGUGGGGAGCAAACAGG
rnacentral:rRNA from 1 species